GGGGACUCCGUGAGACUUGCUUUCCCAUGCACAGGGCCACCUGCCGCACGCUCUCCUGAGGGGCUCCUGCGCUCUGCCCGCCUAUGCUGCUACUGGACCCUGCCUGCCUGCACAGCUCGCAGCCGCGGGAAAAGCAGCUUUGGCCCUGCCCGCCCCUAUCUGCUGCCCCUUCGCCGCUGCCUUCUUUGACCACUCUGAGUACUAUCGUAGUUGCUUUUGGAUGUCCUGUUUGGGCCCACUGCAGCCUGGAGAAAAGCAGCUUUCGCCCUGUCUGAGAAGUCAUUACUCGCUUGACUAUCGGCCUGUGCUUGUUCAUACAGGCACACGUGUGUGUGUGUGUGUGUGUGUGUGUGUGUGUGUGUGUGUGUGUGUGUGUGUGUGUGUCCACGCGCGGAUUGCUGGGAUACAGACCAAGCUACUUUUGGGUGCUUCCCUUUCCGCGCGGGGCAAACUGCCCACAGCCCGAAGCACUGGUCCGUGUCUUCCGUGUCUUCCGUGUCUUUCAGCUGCCAGGAGGAAACUGUCUGGGUCUAAGCGGUGCACCACAGACCGCUCCACCCCCUUGACACCAUCACCACUGCUGCCGCUGCCUCUGUCACUUGUCACUUCCGCUGUUCAGUUGUUGGUCGGUGCUUUGCUUCCUGAGGCACUCACAUGGUAACUCGGUUCCUAGAGGUCUGUGCUCUUCAGGCUGCAGGCUGUGCACGCCUGUCCCUCUCUCCUCCCAAGGCUUGUCUGCCUGCUCAGUUCGUGUCACAGGCCUGAGUCCACCCUGUCACAAGUCUCACAGCACAGCUGUCAGAGUUCUGAUUCUUUCCACUCUGGGCCACACCAACUUUAAGCCAAGUGUUUCUCUACUAAUACAAAAUGCGUUUUUUAAUACUAUGCAACCUAUCAAAGUUACUUAAGAUUUUCAUUUCUAUCCUGUCUUGAUAAUGAUUUUUGCUACUGCCCUUAAAUUAUGAUAGAAUCUCUCGAAGCUUUUAAAGGUUACCCCACAAGGUCUCAGAAGAUAUGGACUCAGCUUCAAGAGGCCUGGAUUGUGAUAUGAUAACCACUGAGAAACACAGUGAACAAAACUGGAGACCUGCAGAGUCAAAUGACUUAUUUAAAUCAAGGUAAGCCAUUUCUUGCCUCACAUAUAUCCAUUCCAGAGAGGAAAAAAAGUCCUCAGUCUUCUGGGCUUGAAAGCCAGACCGACUCCACCCAAGUUGCCAUGGAGACCACAAAGACCAUAGAGAACUGUUUGGACUGUAAGUGAACUCUGUCACAUUUUAAAUAAUUAUGACUGCUAGAUUAUGAUUUAUUUUUCUGACUACAUUGACAGCUAACUAUAGCUUUACACCGAGGGAACAGACCUAACUUCUUACCUAAACUUGUCUCUAGUGACUAGUUCAGAUGUAAGCUUUCACAGAUGUAAUUGGUUCCUUCCUUACCUAAACCAUUUAUUAAAUGUCUCAUAUUUCCUCUUCUUGCUAUGCCACUGUCCUGACAUUAUUUGAGUUCUUAUAAAUUGCCUGACUCUAUACUCCACUAUAUGAUCCAACUGUAGAAUCACAAAUUCUUGUUCCUUCUGUUCCACAAAAAGCUCAUCUUAAAGAAUGUUUGUUCAUGGUAUUACCUCAUGUUGUUACUUACCUCUUCUGUAAAUUUUUUUUUUUUUUGGUUCUUUUUUUUUCGGAGCUGGGGACCCAGGGCCUUGCGCUUCCUAGGUAAGCGCUCUACCACUGAGCUAAAUCCCCAGCCCCCUCUUCUGUAAAUUUAUAAGUUAAAGAAAACCCACUCAGACCUUCCCCUCAUGGACCAGACUCCAGCCAGAUAAGUACAUCUGCCUAAAGCUCCCACUUACCACCUAUUCCAGAGGGUGGAUUCCUCUGUUUUUCAAAUACAGGUCUAUGAAAAAAAUGUCUUCCUCCCAAGCACACCCAGUCUUGUUCUCUGCCUUCAGUAUAUGCUGUCAUCUUGCCAGGCACUUACAGCUCAGACAGCUCCAGAGAGGCGACCUCCAGACGCUCCAACUCCUCUCACAGACACAGACGCUUCUAUUGGACCUGUUCCCUCUGACCCAUCCUCAGAUGGCCCCACAGACCCUGGACAAACACCCCCAUAUUCUCUCUUCUAGGAAACCUAGAGACAAGUCACCCAAAGCAACCAGGAAGUAGUGAGAAAUCAUGACAACCCUAUUCCUGCUUCACCAUCACCUCUUUCUAAUUUUUUUCUUUAAUUUAACCAAAACAGGGGAAUGUUAGCAUUCUGUCUAAGCUCCACCCCAGUUACCUGGCAACAGCGAGGUAUGCUCUGCCCCGCAGUCACCUGGUAGCAGACAGGUGUGCCUACCUAUGAAGGGGCGCUCGCCUCCUCAUUCCCUUGCUCCUGCUCUCCCCCAUUCCCUUUCCCCUCUCCUCUCUCUCUCUCUCUCUCUCUCUCUCUCUCUCUGCCUUUCUCCACCUCUACUACCUUCUUGACUCCCCUCUCCAUGCCCUGAAUAAACUCUGUUCUUUCUAUGCUAUACCAUUGCAUGGCUGGUCCCUCCAGGAGAAGGGAUGCCUCAGCAUGGGUCCACAGAGGCUCCCCCUUUCCCCGUGCCCGACUACACCUCCACAAAACAUAUAAACACAUCAGGAACCAUGGACAAAGCCCUAGGUCCCAUGAGCAGAGCUGCACAAUAAAACUAAUAAUAAUAACAUGAAGAAGAAGAGAACGUUUCACUCUGUAGACCAGGCUGGCCUCAGACUCACAGAAAUAUACCUUCCUCUAUCUUUUGGGUACUGGGUUUAAAGUCCUAUACUAGUGCAGUGGUGACACAUGCCAUUAAUCCCAGCACUCAGGAGGCAGAGGCAGGCAGAUCUCUGAGUCUGAGACAAGCCUGGUCUACAGAAUGAGUUCCAGGACAGCUAGGGCUACUCACCCUCAAAACCCUGUCUUGAAAAACAAAAACUAAUCCAUUAAUGGCUUAGAAUCAAAGAAUGUAUACACACUUUUUGAACAUUUAUUUAUUAUGUAUACAUCAUACAGCUUUCUGCCUGCAUGUACGCCUGAAGGCCAGAAGAGGGCACCAGGUCUGACUAUAGAUGUUUUGAGCCACCAUGUGGUUGCUGGGAAUUGAACUCAGGACCUCUGGAAGAGCAGACAGUGCUCUUAACCUCUGAGCUAUUUCUCCAGCCCCGAAUGUAUACACUCUUGAGAAAACAUAUGUAUGGCCCCCAAAACGCCUGUCAGGUGACUUACAAACUGUAAGUCCAGCUGCAUGGAGCCCAGUGCUCCCGGCUCCUCAGGCUCUGGUACUCACAGGCAAGCACAAACCCACACAGAGACACACAUGGUUUUUAAUGUGAAGACCUUGGGUGCACAGCUGCUUACACGGAAGUUGCCUACACUCGCUCUCAGAGUGGACUACGGCUCUUCUGUUAGAGGGAAAUGAGAAAGUUUAGGUUUGUUGGGAUUAUUUUUCACCAGCCAAUCGGCAAGCCAGAUCUGUGGAAAAAGACAAACUAAAGUUAAUAAACAUCUCAAUAUUUCCUUUUGAUGUACAAUGAACAUAGCAACUGAAAAUUUCAAAAUGCUUAAAAAAAAUUUUUUUUUGAGACAGGGUCUCACAGCCAAGGCUAUCUGGAAUUUGCUGUGUAGAUCAGGCUGGCCUUGAACUCCUAGAGCUCCAACUGCCUCUGCUUCCUAGUGCCGAGGUUAAAGGUGCCCUCAGGGUGGGGGUGCGGGUGGGAUGGAGGUGUUGAAGUUCAGCUCCUAAGUCUGUUCUGCAUGCCUGAUGGAUCACAGCUUGGGCACAAUGUAUUUUUGAUUUCUGUCUGACCUGAUGCUUGAGUUGUGUUGGAUCUAAGCCAACCCCAUAACAAGCCCAGUGUAGAUGCUGAACUAAAGCAGGAGGAAACAGCAAAGAGAGCCAUGGGGGAGUGGGGCACUAAGUCAUUAGAACUGUAGCAAUGUAGAGACUGCAGCAACCACACACACACACACACACACACACACACACACUCACACACACUCACACACGCAAACACACACAUUCACACACACAUGCAAACACAUACACACACUCACACACAUGCAAACACACACAUGCAAACACACACAUACUCACACACACAUGCAAAUACACACACUCACACACACAUGCAAACACACACUCACACACACUCACACACACACCCUCGAGCCUUUUAGGUUGUAUGGCCAGCCUGAACAGUGUUAAUAAGAAACGUAUGAAACAGCUGGACAGUGGUGGCACACACCUUUGAUCUCAGAACAGCAGGAGGAUCUUUGAGUCCAAGGCUAGCCUGGUCUACAGAGUGAGUUCUAGGAUAGCCAGGGCUACACAGAGAAACCCUGUCUUGAAAACAAACAUAGAAGCCAAAGAAUAAAAAUAAAGGUCCUCCAGAGAGACAGAUAGACAAACAAACACACACAAAAUAAAAUAAAGGUCCUCCAGAGAGACAGACAGACAAACAGACACAUACACACACACACACACACACACACACACACACACACACACACACCCCAAAAUAAAUAAAUGUAACUACAUACUUUUUAAAAAUAAAGAGAUAGGGUCUGGGGAUUGGCUAGCUGGUGGAAUGCUUGCCUGUUAAAUACAAAGCCUUGGACUUGAUCCCAGCACCUGGUAAACUGGCGCCCAUAUGCAAUCCCAGCCUUUUGGAGGUAGAGGCAGGAGGGUCUGAGGUUAAAGUCAUCCUUGGCUACACAACUCGUUUACACCACCUCAGGAUGCAGGGAAUCCUCUCUCACAAAAACAAACAAACAAACAAACAAACAAUCUUGGUAGAAGGUGGAGGGCUAGACAAGUGACCCAGCAAGUAAAGUUUCUGGCCACCAAGCCUGGAGAUCAGAUUCUGAGGACUCUUACAGCAGGAGAGGGACCUCCAACCUCCUAUGUGUGCUGUGGUACACACAAUGAGUAAGUAAUAAAUAUGUAAUUGUUAUAAAAAAUGUUGGGGCUGGAGACAGGGCUCGGCAGUUAAACAUACUGACCGCUCUUCCAGAGAUCCUGAGUUCAACUCCCAGAGUCCAGAAAAACAAACAAAAUUAAAAAAGAGAGAGAGAAAGAAACUUUAAUGGAGGGUGAAAGGCACACAGGGCUUACCCCUUCUAGGGAUUCACAGGAAGGUAAUGGUUGAUGGAGAGGGAGUCACAGUGUCUUCAGUGCUGCAGUCAUGGGUGAGGGAGGUACCCUUGCUCAUUUAAACUAACCCUCACCAAUGCUGCUGUAAACAACCCUAGUGAAACUCAGACAAAAGAAACAAAGACAUGCCAGGCCAGCAGCACAGGGGUUAGCUGGAAAGAGGAAAGGAGUCGGCAGGAGUGGGUCAGAGGGAUGCGCACACAUUUGUGAUCAGAUACAUUUUCUACUGUAGGCCAGCUAGGGCUAGACAGUGACCUCGUCUAAAAACCAACAUUCAAGGCCAGCCUGGUCUAUAUCUAAAGUUCUAGGGCAGCCAGGGCUUCAUAGUGAAGCCCUGUCCCCUGCCACAGACAAACAAGCAAAAGAAACCACCCAACAUUAUGUACAUGUAAGAAAAUGUCAUAAUAUCUCAUUAUGUAUAACUACGCCAUGCUAAUACAAAGAAUAAGAAAAUGGAAUCCAGGUGUGGUGGCUCACUCCUGUAAUCCCAGCACUAGGGGAUGAGGGAGGUCUAGAGGCAGGAGAAUAACAAGUUUGAGCCAGUCUGGGCUAUAUAGCAAAGUCCAAGGCCAGCCUGUGCUACAUAGCAAGAUCGUGCCUGAAAAAAGAAAGGCAGGCCUAGCAAGGCAAGGAAGGUAAAGUAGGAGAACCAAGACCUAAGGCCUGGGCUGGGGCGAUGGCGUGUGUCCUGCUCUCCCAGAAAACCUGAGUUCAGCUCCCAGCACCCACGUCAGGCAGUGCAUAGCCACCUGUACCUCUAGCUCUAGGGAAACUCACACCAUCUGCCCUCCUUCUGUAAAGAAGCAAAGAAAAAAAUGAUUUUUUUUUCUAUAAAGGGUUUAAGACAGCUUGGGCUACAGAAAGAGACCUUUCCUCAAAAUUAAAUAGAGUGUGUCUGAAGAGAUGGCUCUGCUGUUAAGAGCACACGUUGGUUUUGUUUAGGGCCUGAGCUCCAUCUCCAGCACCCAUAUGUCUGCUCACAGCUGCCCUGACUUCAGUCUCAAGAACCCCACGUCCUCUUCUGACUUUUCCAGCCACCAGGAAAGCAUACAGUACACAGACAUAUAUGCAGGCAAAACACUCAUCCAUAUAAAAUCAGUGAAUCUAAAACUAUAUACUAAAUAAAUGACCGAAAUCAAAACAGAAAACCUUGAAACUAUUACUUGUGGCGGUAAAACAAGUACAGCUCAAAGGGAGAGGUGAGCCUGUCUUUGUCGUAGAAGGCAAUGAUCCCACAGGAACGAACUCCAUCCAGAGAUCAGCUACGGUUCCUCCUGCCUGUAAGCCCAGCACUCGGGAGACUGAGGUGGAGGGGCCUAGGUUCAGGGCCAGCCGGCUUUACAAAGGACUCACCCCCCAACCCCCACCUCAUCUCUCUUUUUUUCUUCAUUUUUUAAAAGAGAUUUAUUUUAUUUAUAUAAAUACCCUGUAGCUGUCUUCAGACACACCAGAAGAGGGCAUCUGAUCUCAUUACAGAUGGUUGUGAGCCACCAUGUGGUUGCUGGGAUUUGAACUCAGGACCUCUGGAAGAGCAGUCAGUGCUCUUAACCACUGAGCCAUCUCUCCAGCGCCUGUCUUUCUUUCUGCCUCUGUCUCUCACUCACAUUCAUGCGUGUGUGUGUGUGUGUGUGUGUGUGUGUGUGUGUGUGUGUGUGUGUCCCACACAUGUUGAACUUGAACCUGGAUUCAGAGUUCCCAGACAAGGUUCCCAAACUCCUGGCAGGAUGCUCUCAGCAUCAUGAAUAUGCAAAUCAGCCAUUGUCACAUCUACUAGGGCAGCUGUUAAUGAGCAAGUAAAACAAUAGACACGGUGGUGCAAAGAGAAACUGGAGCCCUCACACCUUGCAAAUGGGAGGGUAGAAUGGAACAACCACCCGUGUAAAAGAUUGGGCAGUUCCUGACAGGAACCGGACUGGAACUGAGCAGUAGCUCCAGUAACAAUAACGAGCCCAGUAACUGCAUUCCUAUAUACUGACACACAACUGGAAACUGGACUCACACGAUCGAACGGGCACUAUUCACCCAUGGAAAGGAUGGGAUCGUGACACAUGCUUGUCACUACUGACUGGCUAAUAAAACAGUGAAAUAAGCCAAACACAGGUUUAUAUUUUUCUGUGUUGGAAACUUGUCUUAGGGUUUCAUUGCUGUGAAAAGAUAACAUGACCAAGGCGGCUAACUCUUAAAAAGGCUAACAUUUAAGUGGGGCUGGCUUACAGUUUCCGUCUUUUAUCACGGCAGGAUGCAUGCAGCAGAAGGGGACUGUCUUCUGCAGGCAGCCAGGGGGAAGCUCUCUUUCUGGUGCCAAGCCUCAGUCCUUUGCGUGACCCAUUUAGUCCUGGGCUUUCAAGGGCCACUGAGGCUACACCUUCACCUUUCCUGGCCUCUCACAGUGUCCAGCCUCGGCUGCUCUCCAUGACCCCUUCAUGCCUUCAAAACCAGUAAGUACCACUGGGAUGAUCCUUACACAUUACCAAGUCCAGCUGCAGCACAAGGCACACCAUUGGCUGUGUGUGGAACAUAGCUUCUUGUGCUCUCAGAAAACACUUCCCAGAAGAUUGAUGCUGGUUUCUUCUUAAUCACCGCUAAUUUCUUAGCACCAGCUGACCAGCAUCAAUUGACCCAGUAUCCAUUCUAUUAUUGACGGUAAAGCCAGAGCCACAUGUCUCAAGCCGCCCGGGGCUGGCCUCCUUGACUAUUACAUCUUCACAAGUUUUCUGUUUUCAGUGAUUUCCUUCGUUUCCUAAGCCUGCCUAUCCUGGCUUUGUAAACUGACUUUGAACUCAGAGAUCUGCAUGCCUCUGUCUCCUGAGUACUGAGUGCUGUACAACCAUCAGACCUCAAAGCCCCAACUCCACAAUGACGCACUUCCUCUAACAAGGCUCACCUCCCCCAAUAAGGCCACACCACCUAAAAGUGCCACUUCCCUUGGGCCAAGCAUUUUCAAACCACCACAAAGUGAAGCCCCCACCACUUUGGCUAUGCCCAGUAAGUGCCCUGCUAUCACACCACACCCCUAACACCAUGUGUGCUGCCGGGAAGGCAUACAUGCCAGAGUGCACCUGUGGAGGUCAGAGGGCAGCUUUUGGGAGCUGAUUCUCUACUUACAUUCUGUCCCUCCCCAGUCCCCAACACACACCAUUGAGGGGGUUGUACUGGGUCUCACUAUAUAGUCUUGACUGGCCUGAAAUUCACUGUGUGGACCAGACAAACUUCGAAUUCACAGAGAUCUGCCUGACUCUACCUUCUAAGUACUGGGAUUAAAGGCACUGGCCACAGUGACCAGUCUACCUUUUUAAAUUUUUUUUUCUUUUCUUCUCUUUUUUUUUUUUUCCGUUCUUUUUUUUUUGGAGCUGGGGACCGAACCCAGGGCCUUGCACUUCCUAGGCAAGCGCUCUACCGCUGAGCUAAAUCCCCAACCUUUUUUUUCUUUUCUUUUCUUUUCUUUUUUUUCUUCGGAGCUGGGGACUGAACCCAGGGCCUUGCGCCUUUUUAAAUUUUUAUUUUGAGGCACUGUCUCACUAAAUUGUCUUGCUUGGUUACCACAGAGUCAACACCCAAGCAAGCCUCAGAACCUGUGAGUCUUCAGACUGAAAGAAUAAAUAUUUAAGUAGGCAUGGUGGUGUCUUUAGUCCCAGCCCUCAGAAGGCAGAGGCAAGUAGAUCUGUGAGAGCUUGAGGCCAGCCUGGUCUACACAGUGAGCCCUAGGACAGCCAAGACCACAUAGUGAGACCCUCUCUCACAAACAAACAAGUUUACAGUUUGAAAUAUGAAAACCACAAACAGUAAGUAUUCUCCAAUGAGAAUAAAAAAGUAUCUUACGGGGGUUGGAGAGAUGGCUCAGUGGUUAAGAGCACUGAUUGCUCUUCCAGAGGUCCUGAGUUCAAAUCCCAGCAACCACAUGGUGGCUCACAACCACCUGUAAUGAGAUCUGAUGCCCUCUUCUGGUGUGCCUGAAGACAGCUACAGUGUACUUAUAAAUAAUAAAUAAAUCUUAAAAAAAAAAAAGUAUCUUACGUAAGGAUCUGCUGGCUUUUGCUUGCAAAGCUCUGUGAGUCCUUGAAGUAGGGUUGGUGCUACGUACAAAUUCAAAUAGUCCUUAGCAGCUUGUCCAAUUGGAAUGGGUUCGAUAAUCACUGCAAAUACAAAGAAGUUCUUACUAAAAAGCAAAUAUAAGUGAUUAAACAUUAUACAGCUAUGAGAAAAGGGAUGCCUUCAAGAGUGUAUAACUGUCAUGAUGUGAACUUUAAAUCUGAGUUUUACAUCUUUACAUUUAUUAUUAAGGUAUUAUAAUUGAUAUUAUUACUGGCUAUCUGGUAGGGUCUCCCUGUAGUCCAGGCUUGUAUAGAACUCACUAGGCUAGCAUCAAACCCACAGUGAUCUUCCUGCCUGGUCAUCUGGAUGCUGUCAUAGCAGUUGUUAUGCCUACACUGUACCUGUUUAUUAAGGAACUAUUUACACAUGGUGCUUGCUAAAUUUGUGAUUAUACAGAGAAAUAAAUAUAUUUAUUUAUUUUAUGUAUAUAAAUUACACUGUAGCUGUCUUCAGACACACCAGAAGAGGAUGCUGGAUCCCAUUACAGAUGGUUGUGAGCCACCAUAUGGUUGCUGGGAAUUGAACUCAGGAUCUCUGGAAGAGUAGUCAGUGCUCUUAACCACUGAGCCAUCUCUCCAGCCCCCAUAAAUACAAUUUAAAAUUAAACUAAAUAACAAUAACCCACACACACAAGAGAAGAAGCCAAUCCAAACCAAUGCUGGCAGCUGCUCAGGAGGCUGGCCCAGAUAAAUCAAACACGCUCACAGGUGGAUAGCAGGUUUGCCCGUGGAUAGGACAUUGAGACCUUGCCUCAAAGCAGAGGGCUGGACAAACAGGCUGCAUGCAGUGCAUGCCUGAAAUCCCAGUGCUCAGAAGGUGGAGGAAGGAAGAGCAGUAGUUCAAGGCCAACCAAGACAUACGGGCCUGUCUCAAAAUAAAAAAAAGGGGGGGGGAGGAGCUCAAUGGCUAAGGUCAACUUUUCUUCCAGAGGACCCCAAAUUCAGAUCUCAGCACCCACAUAAAGCGGUUCACAACUGUCUGUAACUCCAACUCCAGGGGCCCAAUGCCUUCUGGCCUCUGAGACCAUCUGCUCGCAUGUGGUAUACAUUCACAUAGACAUGAACAAAAAUAGGAUAAUCUUAAAAAUAACUAGGUAGGGGCUGGGGAUUUAGCUCAGUGGUAGAGCGCUUACCUAGGAAGCGCAAGGCCCUGGGUUCGGUCCCCAGCUCCGAAAAAAAGAACCAAAAAAAAAAAAAAAAAAAAAAAAAACUAGGUAAAUAAAGGAGGCCUAAGCAGCUCACUGGCAAUGGUUUGCCUGGGACGGAGCCCUAGGUCCACCCCCCAGUACGUAAAGACAGCACACUAUUCCUCUGUAUGUCUGCUUUUUAAAGGCUCACCGGCUUCAUGAUUUCAAAUUGGAGGAAAUGGGAAAAGAAGUGGAAUUAUCAUUUCCACAUUGAUUUAUGACUUUCGUAGCUUGUUUUGUUUGGAAAAAGACAAGUUUACUGAGUGCAGAACAAAGGAGCAGUGAUUGGGGCGGAGACAGAGCGCCCCCCUGCACUAUUCUUGCUAAUUUGUUACCUCUUCUAUGCUCCACCCUCCACGUACCAACAGGUUUCUGAAGCCUCAUGGGUAAUUAGGAAGAAUUACAACAGAAACAGAGUAUCUAGUUCAGGAGAAAGAAAGAAAGAAAGGAAGGAAGGAAGGAAGGAAGGAAGGAAGGAAGGAAGGAAGGAAGGAAGGAAGGAAGAAAGAAAGAAAGAAAGAAAGAAAGAAAGAAAGAAAGAAAGAAAGAAAGAGGGGUUGGGGAUUUAGCUCAGUGGUAGAGCGCUUGCCUAGGAAGAGCAAGGCCCUGGGUUCGGUCCCCAGCUCCGGAAAAAAAAGAACCAAAAAAAAAAGUCAGGACCACCAGCCCAGGAGUGGCACCACCCAUAAUGGGCUGGGCCCUACCCCAUUGGUCACUGUGGAAAUGCCUUACAUGGCAUGGAGCAAGGAAGCGCAAGGCCCUGGGUUCAGUCCCCGGCUCCAGAAAAAAAGAAAAAAAAGAAAAAAAAAAAAGGAAGGAAGGAAGGAAAGCAAGCUAGCAAGCAAGCCCCUCUCUAGAGCUUCCCAAGGGACACUGUAGGUGAUGUUUACUUUUCUACUUUUGGCUUCUAGACUUGUUUUGUUUGGUUUUCUGGUUGUUACUGCUUUUUAAAGAAACACUUAUUUUAUGUAUAUGAAUGUUUUGUCUGCAUAUAUGUACCUGCACCAGCUGUAUGCUCGGUGCCCAGGGGGGUCAGAGAGGGUGCUGGAGUCUCUAAAUUAGAGUUGGGAACUGCAGUGAGCCCACAUGGUGCUUGGAACUUAACUCUGGUCCUUUGCAAGAACAGCCAGUGCUCUCAGCUGCUGAGCCUUCCCUCCAGCCCGUGGUUUAGCCUUUGUAGCAUUGAGACGGGUCUCUAUGUAGCCCUGGCUGGCCUGGAACUUGCAGAGACCCACCUGCCAGGUGCUGAGAGGCUUUUUUGUUUGUUGUUUUUGUUUUGAUUUCUUGUGAGCUAAGGUCUGGAGAUGCCCAGAUCAACUUCCCAUAGGACCAACACUUGAACUGCUGAUCCUCCUGCCCUCACUCUGUAGGGUUAAGAUUAGGAUUACAGACUUGUGGCCCCAUGCCCUACUUUAUCUAGUGCUGGGAUUCGAACCCUGGACUUCCCAGGAGCUCAGCAAACCCCACAACCAACGGAGCUGCAUCCCAGACCCUUCUAGCUUUAAGUUUUAAUGACUCAAAGCCUGAAAAUAUACCAAAGCAUGUUUGAGGGAAAAUUCUAUCUUCCUUCCCAGCCAUUUUUUUUAAAAGAUUUAUUUAUUAUAUGUAAGUACACUGUAGCUGUCUUCAGACACACCAGAAGAGGGCAUCAGAUCCAAUUACAGAAGGCUGUGAGCCACCAUGUGGUUGCUGGGAUUUGAACUCAGGACCUCUGGAAGAGCAGUCUGUGCUCUUAACCCCUGAGCCGUCUCUCCAGCCCAAAAGUAACUAGCACACCACGUGGUUCCACCGGGGCCUUCUGCGUGUAAAGCAGACGUGAUAACCGCUACACUAUGGAACCAGGCCACUUUUUUUCAAGAUACAAAAUAAACUUUAAGAGGCGCAGUGAAGAAAGCAGGCGCAACAGACUCACCUUCUGGAAACAUGAACCUAAUCUCUCGUUCUGAGGCCGCAAAGUCGUUGCUCCCGUGAAGUGCAUUCCUUAGCUCAUCUGUGCCGUAUAUCGCCCUUAAGCUAGAGAGAAUUAAAGACACUGUCCCUCCAUUCUGACACACCUUCCAUCCUUCCCAUUAGAGAGUUCGAGGGAGGAGGCACAGGAGGAGGUCAGAGGACUACUCUGGGAGUGGUUCUUCCCUUCAAGGUCAUGGGUCCUGAGUUCAAAUCCAGAUCUUUCUGCUUGGCAGCAUUCACUUUACCCACUGAGCCAUCUUGCCAGCAUUUUUUUCUAAUUUUUUUUAGACAAUUCAUCACUAAUUUAAUCUUAAGCUUUUAAUCUACUUAGAUGAGGGCCAAAUACAUUUCUGUAUGCCAGUAGCAUCCACUGUGGAAACAAGCAGUCUUUAGGGGAAGAAAGUAUUUUAUGAGACAUGAAAAGAAAUAUAAAUUCAAAACUGCAAUAACUUUCAUUUCUGGAAACUAGUGCUCAUGUUGCAAUAGCCUUGGCUGGCCCAAAACUCUCAGAAAUUUGCCUGCCUCUGUCUCUGAAGUCCCGAGGUUAAAUGUAUGUACCACCAUCUCUGGAAAACAAAAUUUAAAAAGUCUUACUUUCUUAUUAAAGAUCCUAUUUCAGGAUCAGUGAGUUGCUCAGCUGCUAAAAGCACUUGCCACCAAGCCUAAUGAUCUGAAUUCUGUCCUUGAACUAAUAGGGUGGAAAAGAAGAAAAUCCCACGAGUUGUAGCUGACCUCCACGUGUGCAAGACACACAUGCCCACAAGCAAUAAAUAAAUAAAAUGUAAUUUUACAAAUCUGACUUCAUAGCUAUGUGCUAUAUAUAACCCAGCACCGAUUUCGGGGACUGGGGGUUGGUGGGGGUGGCUGAAGUAGGAGGAUGGUCACAAACUCAAAGCUAGCCUGGGCUACACAGUGACUUAUAGGCCAGCUUAGGCUACAGAGCAAGAACUAGUCUCAAAAAACAUUAAAACAAAUAAACAAAAGCAGGGUGGUGGCAGUGUAUACCUCAGUACUCGGAGGUGGAGGCAGGGGGAAUCUUUGUGAGUUUGGGGCCAGCCUGGUCUAAAGACCAAGCUCCAGGACAACACAGAGAAGCCCUGUCACAAACAAACAAACAAACCAAAAUCAAUUAAUCAGGAACUCGUUCUUUAGAGGCAGUUUAAUGCCAGGCUGACCAGCAGUCAGUGAGUUGUUCUCUGCCGCCCUCUACAGCACUGGAUAUUAAGAUAGAUUUGCAGGGCUGGAGAAAUGGCUCAGCGGUUAAGAGUUCCGACUGCUCUUCCAGAGGUCCUGAGUUCAAUUCCCAGCAACCACAUGGUAGCUCACAACCAUCUGUAAUGAGGUCUGGUGUGUCUGAAGACAGCUACAGUGUACUCGUAUACAUUAAAUAAAUAAAUAAAUAAAUAAAUAAAUCUUUAAGAAAAAAAAA